rnacentral:rRNA from 1 species
AGAAUCAACGCUGGCGGCGUGCCUAACACAUGCAAGUCGAACGAGAAAGGGUAGCAAUACCUGAGUAAAGUGGCGCACGGGUGAGUAACACGUGACUAACCUACCUUUUAGUGGGGGAUAACCUAGGGAAACCUGGGCUAAUACCGCAUAAUACCUACGGGUCAAAGCAGCAAUGCGCUGAAAGAGGGGGUCGCGGUCGAUUAGUUAGUUGGCAGGGUAAUGGCCUACCAAGACUGUGAUCGAUAUCCGGCCUGAGAGGGCGCACGGACACACUGGAACUGAAACACGGUCCAGACUCCUACGGGAGGCAGCAGUGGGGAAUUUGCGCAAUGGGGGAAACCCUGACGCAGCAACGCCGCGUGGAGGAUGAAGCCCCUUGGGGCGUAAACUCCUUUCGAUCGGGAAGAUAAUGACGGUACCGGAAGAAGAAGCCCCGGCUAACUUCGUGCCAGCAGCCGC